rnacentral:rRNA from 1 species
ACGACCAUACCACAUUGAAAACACCGGUUCUCGUCCGAUUACCGAAGUCAAGCAAUGUCGGCCUCGGUCAGUACUUGGGAGGGUGACCACCUGGGAACACCCGGUGCUGUAGGCU